UCACAAACAUGAUCUCAUGAAAAAGACAGCUGGACCACGAAUCUGGAUUCUCACGUUCGUUCUGGUCUGGCUCUCCCACCAACCAGAGGUGGCACCUUGGGACAAUGCGUGCUCUUCCUGGACCUCAGUUUUUCAAUUUAUAAACAGGGCCCUGCUCUUGUGCUCCCUGGUGCGGGCUCCACUUCUGUGCUGGCUGCAAGCUGGGAGAGCGUGGAAGGAAUUCAGCAGCUGCACUCAGCUCCCAGUGGAUGAGAGACUGAUGAAGACAGUGAAGCAGGCGGCCGAGUUUCCCCAGGGUCCAGGCCGGGGUGCUGCUGCGGCAGAUCCUUCACGUUCUGAACCACGAGGGAAGUCCCCUCCUAUUGAGAAGUGGGAUCUAAGUCCCCUCACCUUGAGGAAGGGCUGAUGCAACCCAGAUGCCAUUUCAACCAGGAGAGUACAGUGGGAGUGGUGGCCUAGGACUUCCGAGGCUGGCUCACAAAAGGCCAUCUGGUUUCCUUCCGGUUCUCUGGGAAAGACAUCUGUCACGUUCUCUUCUCUUUCGCUCCUAUCCUGGAUGCAGCCAGCUGCUGAUCAAUGCAUAUACAUUUGAGGUGCUUAAUUUAAGGAAAAGAGACCUCUCAAAGAAAUAGAUGACUUAAUGGAUAGUUUUGCUGAGCCCCACAUACGAGGAGAUGGACCCAGGUUGAAGACACUAAAUUGAAUGCCGGGUCAGGUGGAGAAAAUAACAUCACCAGCUGUCACCGGGCCCUGACGACACCCAGGGAUGCUCUUCUGUGUUCCCGGUGCUCUCAGAGCUCCAGAAAGACUCCAGCCCUUCAGAUCAAAAAGCUGAAACAAUGGAUGAUCUGAACUGUUGAUGACCUCACACCAUCCAGGUGCCCAUCCACAUAGAAGAAAAAGUCCAGAGCCAAAGAGCCUUGCCCUUCCCAUCCCGGUAAGUGUCAAGUGCUAUUUCUACAGAGAAAAUAGCCUCUGCUUUUGUGUAUCACAGAGAAGGUUCUGGGGAUCAUUGAACCUGAAAAUGCCAUGUGCAGUAUUGUCCAUGAGGCUCUGUCCAUUUUUCUGGGAAGAUAGAUCCAGAAUUUUCAA